GCCAUGCAAGAUGAUGAACUCAUCUCCUACAUCCUCCAUGGCCUCGACAUGGAGUAUCAACCUCUAGUCUCGGCCCUCGAUGCACA
rnacentral:snoRNA from 1 species